ACGAACGCUGGCGGCGUGCUUAACACAUGCCAGUCGAACGGAAAGGCCCCUUUGGGGGUACUCGAGUGGCGAACGGGUGAGUAACACGUGAGUAACCUGCCCUUGACUUCGGGAUAACUUCAGGAAACUGGGGCUAAUACCGGAUAGGAAUCCUUGCUGCAUGGUGGGGGUUGGAAAGCUUCGGCGGUUUUGGAUGGACUCGCGGCUUAUCAGCUUGUUGGUGGGGUAGUGGCUUACCAAGGCUUUGACGGGUAGCCGGCCUGAGAGGGCGACCGGCCACAUUGGGACUGAGAUACGGCCCAGACUCCUACGGGAGGCAGCAGUGGGGAAUAUUGCACAAUGGGCGGAAGCCUGAUGCAGCAACGCCGCGUGCGGGAUGACGGCCUUCGGGUUGUAAACCGCUUUCAGCAGGGGCGAAGCUUGUGGUGACGGUACCUGCAGAAGAAGCACCGGCUAACUAUGUG
rnacentral:rRNA from 1 species